AUUGGGGUAGUUUAUAAAAAUAUUAGCUUUGGAAGUUAAAGAAAAACAUUGUUUUUCCAAUA
rnacentral:tRNA from 1 species